UCGGGAAUUUUGGGCAAUGGGCGAAAGCCUGACCCAGCAACGCCGCGUGAAGGAUGAAGUAUUUCGGUAUGUAAACUUCGAAAGAAUAGGAAGAAUAAAUGACGGUACUAUUUAUAAGGUCCGGCUAACUACGUGCCAGCAGCCGCGGUAAUACGUAGGGACCAAGCGUUGUUCGGAUUUACUGGGCGUAAAGGGCGCGUAGGCGGCAAUUCAAGUCAUCUGUGAAAUCUCCGGGCUUAACUCGGAACGGUCAGAUGAUACUGCUUUGCUAGAGUGCAGAAGGGGCAAUCGGAAUUCUUGGUGUAGCGGUGAAAUGCGUAGAUAUCAAGAGGAACACCUGAGGUGAAGACGGGUUGCUGGGCUGACACUGACGCUGAGGCGCGAAAGCCAGGGGAGCAAACGGGAUUAGAGACCCAAGUAGUCCCUGAGCGGGCUGGCAAGGCGCAU
rnacentral:rRNA from 1 species